GCCACACGCAUGCACGAAACCAGAAGGCAUGACAGAUUUUACAUUGAACACACAUGCGCAGAAGUAGCCCAGCACAAGUAAGGACGACGCACAUGCAUGAUCCAAAAGCUAGUUAAUCCACUACUUCUGGAAGUAGUCCUCGGUCCUGCCCUUGAACCCGAUCUGGCCGAAGGUGAGCGCGAUGAACAGACCCAGGUGCCACGUCACCAACCACAGCCUGCAGUGUCAAUUACAUUUAACCUUCAGAAUCAAACCCCAAGUUGAAGCACAAGCAUAUAUGUACUGGUGGUUAGUGCGUGAACGUGUGACGAGUGGUUUGGGUUUAUCCUGACCAGAACUGCGACUGGAGAGCCGGGGGCGAGGGGAAGUGGGCGAGCUCCUCGCCGAUGCUGGAGAAGAAGAGCCCCGUCAAGCUGUUGCCGUUGAUCAGCGGGAUGCUCGACGGCGCCAGCCACCCGAUCAGCCCGAACCCGAUCACGUUCAGGUCCCUCCGCAGCCAGUCCCGUGGGAACCUGAUCGCCCAACAACGCAAAGCAAACAAUCCGUCAGUGACACAGAAAUUCACACGCCGAUGCAUGUAUGGACAGAGUCAUUUUUUUUACGUCAUGCAGGUGAUUCUGCCGUUCCUCUCCAGGUUCCUCGUCAUCAGCGGGUUCCUCGCCGACACCCGGCCGCCACUCGUGAAGCCUACGUACACAGACCCAGCAUUUCAGGACACACAACGUCAACGUCGAAUUGGUGACAGAAAAAAGCUAGGCGC
rnacentral:lncRNA from 1 species